rnacentral:lncRNA from 1 species
UUUGGCAGGUCGGGAAUUGCUUCUUGUCCCGCAGAGCAAUGAAAAGCAGGCCAAUAAUGCCACCCACAGGUGCCCGGCUUUAUUGCUGCCAUGGGUUUCCAGAUGGGCUCUGAGAUCCUGCAGAGCCAGACUGCAGUCUCAUGGAGAGGUUUGGGGUCAGAUCACCCUGCAGGGGAGGAGGCAAUGUUUUCUCACACCUGAUCUCUCAAAAGCAAUGAAGGGUUUCCUACCAGUACUGACUGAGGAUGAAGACAUUGGUGUACUUAGAGAAAACCUCAGAGGAGUCAAAAACAAAGAUUUCCUGCCCUCUGGACACAGUCUGCACCCAAGCCAGCAUGGCUUGGGAGUUCAAUACUCUUUCCUGGGAGAAGAGAGGGGCAACACAAAACAGAACAGGUAAUUUUGAAACAGUUAAAUGGAGUGGUCAUGGG